rnacentral:rRNA from 1 species
UUAAAAAUCGUAACAAGGUUUCUGUAGGUGAACCUGCAGAAGGAUCAUUAGUGAAGAUUUGGGCAGGCCAUACGGACGCCAAAAAGUGUCCCUGGCCGCCUACACCCACUAUACAUCCACAAACCCGUGUGCACUGUCUUGGAGAAAGGCUUCAGAGAAGUUUUUUGUGGCCUCUCUUGGGGUCUUUCUUCGCUACAAACUCGAAUGGUUAGUAUGAACGUGGAACUUGGUUGGACCGUCACUGGCCAACAAACUAUACACAACUUUCGACAACGGAUCUCUUGGUUCUCCCAUCGAUGAAGAACGCAGCGAAACGCGAUAGGUAAUGUGAAUUGCAGAAUUCCGUGAAUCAUCGAAUCUUUGAACGCACCUUGCGCUCUAUGGCAAUCCGUAGAGCAUGCCUGUUUGAGUGCCAUGAAAUCUCCCACCCCAAGCGGUUUUUAAAUGAAACGGCUUGGCGGAUGGGGUCUGGAUGGGUGCCUCUGCCUGCGCUACCUAGCACAGGCUCGCCCGAAAUGCAUGAGCGCCUUGAGACACUUUGCAUCCGCCUCUCUGUUUGGGAGGAGGCGGCCAAGCAGUGUUUUUCUCCUGGCAUGGCAUGAUACGUCAUUUGCUAUGUCGCCUAAAGGAGGAAUGUUUGGUUGUGUCUGCGUGUGCUUCGAACUUGCCUCUGUGGCACAUCCCAAUUUCACUUCUGGUCUCAAAUCAGGUAGGAUCACCCGCUGAACUUAAGCA